AAAGAAGUGAUCAAGGGCACAACUUGCCUGGGACUCAAGAUUCCAGGUACCAGGAUGAUCUUCAGGUGACUCGUGACCUCACGCUAGUCGUAGAAAUACAAACAAACAUGGUAUAGACAAAAUUAACAUCACACCAACAUAAGAAUAACUGCGUAAUAAUAAUCUACACUACAUAACAAGAUCGUAGGAACAAGAAUCACCAAAUCGGAGUUACAGCUUAAGAGGUAUAGUUUUCGGAAGACCUACGUGAUUAAACAAUUAAAAUUAUGUCUUAUGUUAUAUCUAUAAAUCAUGUGAGAAAGUUAACCUAAGGAAAUAAUUAAUUCAACUUAUUAUAAUUUAAUUAGCGGUUAUACAUUAGUCAGACUAUAAUUAUAAAUAGCUUAACUCUGAUUAGAAAGAUUAAUCUACUAAAUAUGGGUUAAAUAAAUAUCUAAUUAUAAAAGUACGUGAUAUGUUACAAAUAAUAUUGUUACUACAUAGACAAUUUUAUUACGAAGCUGACACCACAAGAAUGGGUUAAAUCAGAAUUAAAAUGAGCAAGAUAUGGACUAAACAUGUCUGUUUAUACUUUUGUAUUAAUUUUAUGAUUUAAAGUAUUUCUCGAGGCUUGUUUUGAAUAUUCCAGGGACCCAUCUGUGAUAAUCUUACAACUAUCCAGGAGCGCAGGUUGAUUUAUACGAAGUCUAAGGACUCUUAUACACUUGAGGAAGGGGUAGGCCAAUGUUUUAUCAUGAUCGUUGACUUCCUCUCCUACAGCCCAGAUUGCAUCUAGACCAAGUAGUACGCAUCGCCAAUUCCUGGCCAUACCUUGCUAGAUCAACAACAGAGCGUGCUUCUUCUCCCCUCUAAUACCGGCGCACACGGUGGCGCACCAGCCCCGUGGCAAAACUCUCGCUGGUGUUCGACGAACUGAUGCCUAAGUGCACCAAAGCAGACACCGAAAUAUGGUAAAUAAAACGAAGAGAUAUGCAGCACUCACCAGCAAUUAGACUCACAGGCACGCAUUAUCCCUAGCAUGCAGUAGCUUCACGGCGAAGGAGUUCCUCCGAUGAGCAAUAGCAGUAGCACAGAUGUCCUUCCUUCAAGCCGACACCAUGGCAAGACUUCACGUGCCCAGGCGACUCUCCACAGCCUCCGCAUGAUGGCUAAACAUCAACAAGAUGCAGAGAGCUCCACUGAAGAUUUCCUACUAGCGAAGACCAUGGCCAUGAAUUCCGG
rnacentral:lncRNA from 1 species